AUGUCAACGGUUUGACAGGCUUCCGACGCGUUACUCCCUUUCAUCUCCGCCGUUGACAGCGCGGUUUAAAGCUCUUUUUGUACUUAGGCUAUAUCUAAAUUUGUGUUUUUGGAAUGAGAAAUCACUGAGCAGGAACGCAUGUUUUCAUGUGCUCGCGAAGGAGGGAACGGAUGAAAAGCUGUUUUUACCUCACAAGCCUCCCUGUGAUCUGAGACCAUUGGAAACUCAUUCACCUGUCUUUUCUCAUAGAGAAAACAAAAGCAGAAGGAUUGUGUAUCUGGGAGGAAAUUUCACCCUUGUGUUUGUGUAUUGUCUUUUAUGGAAGGUCAUUAGCCAACAGUGAUGUUUCACAGUGUAUAUGGAUCUAGAAAUAGAAAUAUGCCAAUAAAGAAAGAAUGUGCAAUAAAGUGACCACAAAGGCACCUUUAUCUCUCUGGAAGGACUUGCACUCCAAGGUGCUUUUUCUUAGCAAAGGAAUUUUGCAUGAUGCCUUGAAAACAGCAGUAACAUCAGGCUUCGUAUCAGCACGAUCAGAAGAGAAUAAAUGGUGCUGUCAAUGUCCACACAGAGGAAAAUGCAAGAUGGUAUUAUCCAAAGCGACUUACAAAUGAGGAACAUUGCAAGCAGUUUAUCAUGAGUCAGUCAACGUUAGGCAAGACAUGAGGUAAAACGAUGAGAAAUACUCCAACCAUUUAUUACAACAGAUUCUCAUUUUGCAGCCGGUUCAAUAUCCUAAACAUACUUUCUUUGUGAGACAAAAUCAUUAAACAAACCUUGAUAGAGGGACUGAAUAAAAGAUGUUUAUACCCUGGCAACACAGAUGCAUUCAAGACCAUUUUUUCAAGAUGUGUAGACGGAGCAUGUAGAUGUGAUUAGCAUCCUGGUUGAGGAGCCGUGAUAGUGCUUUGGAAUGGUCGUCAUGGAUAGGAGCGGUGGGGUGACAGUGAUGUAUGGCUCCUGGAGCUGAGCAGUCUUCGCCUGUUGAUUACCUUGGCAACCUGAAUGUGAAAACUCUGCUGAAUCUGUUAGUUAGAAUGCUCUAGUGUAAAAAACAAACAAAAACAAAACA